rnacentral:lncRNA from 1 species
UAUUUAUUUAUUUAUUUAUUUAUUAUUUCAGAAAUGUACAAUUUUAAAAUAAACAUUUUCCCACAAAACCGGUUUAGCGGUUUGACUGUGGGUGAUGAGCCGCAUUGUCUUACAUAAACUUAUAUAUAUAAACAUUUAUAAUUUUUUAAACUACUAGAAUAUAUAAUGGUAUUACGCUACUCAAUUAUUUUAUGAAAGUACUUUUUUAACUUAACUUUAAAGAGUUUUCUAUUAUUUUCUUGUCUGAUGUCUGCCGGUAAACUGUUGAGCACAUUAUGGUACACGCUUCUUUAAAGUUCUAUCACCAAAAUAAUUAUGAACCCUUGGAACAUUAUAUUUACCGGCAGGCAUAGAUCGUGUAUUGUAUGUAUUUGAUACAAUAGAUAAGUCAUGCUCUUUCCUGCCGUGCUGAUUUAUGGCUAAGAGGUAUCUAUGUUUUAAAUGAACCGGUAAGAUGUUACAUAUUUUAAAUAACUUCCUGUAAUCACCUUUGCAAUUUAAUUUGGUCUUUUUUGUAACUAGUAACUUGAGAAAUCUUAUUUGUAAUGACUCUAUUUUAUUAAUGUAAGUUUUAAAGGUUAGGCCAUAGCUGUCAAGAGCAUAACUUAUUAUUGAUUCAACUAAGGAUAAAUACAGACUUCUUAAAAUAUUUAUAUAAAAAAGAGGGCUAUCACAAAUUUUCGAGUUUUAUACGAGUUUUGAUGCGUCAUUAUGCUUUGGAUAUAGUCACAAAAAAAAAACAAAAAUAAGAUUAAGAAAGUUUGAUCAUUUAUCUUGGGGCUGUUUUCAAUAAAUAUUUUAAUUUGUCCACGUACAUCAGUAAAAUCUUUGUCUCUGCAAAGGAUGUUUCAUAAAAUGUUGCUUUUGGGAAUCUUUUGAUGCUUCAGUACUACGAGGAUAUAGCAAUUUAACCAUUUAUAAAAAUGUUCAAGAUACAACUAUAUCUUGUACUUGUGCUUGCUUACACCAAUUUAUUACAAUUCAUACAGUAAUACACCAAAAAUAAUUCUAUAAAACUGAGAGUUACUGACAAUUUUCCGUACAAAACUAUAUUUUUUAUCUAUGAAAGUAUAAUCCAAAUUCAAAUAAAACAUAUUUAAUAAUUAAGGUGGUAUUGUUAUAAAGCUUGAAAAAAAAAAUUGGUCUAUUUAAAAGUAAAACAAUAUUUUAAAAUAAUUUUUGUUUGCAAUGCAAAAAUCAAUAUAAAUCUUGUGACGCGCGGUGUUCAACUUUAGUCAGCGCCAAGCGCUUAUCGAGGGAGGACGUAUCGCUCGCUGUUGCGCCGCGCAAACUCGCCGGAGCUCGAAAAAUAUAGCGCAACCUGCGCAACGAACUCGUUUUGAUACUAGAUAAUGAAAGCAUAUUUAAUUCAGAUUAUCAGACUCAAUCGGAUACCAGUACAAAUAAUAUGGUAAGUAUUUUUUGUCACUCGCAACAGACAUAUUUGUUUUAAUAAACUAUUUACAUUCCUAGUUUUUAUUGUUGCAGGAAAAUGAAGAUACAAUACAUGGAAGACGAAUUAUAGAUUUUAGUUUUUUUAUAAAUCAAUUACUUAUACCUAAUUGAUAAACAUGGUGAAAAGUUUGGUUGUCGAUUAAAUAAUUUAAAAAUUGUAAACGA